GGACGGUUGCCGGAGUCCGGCUUAUCGGCGCUCUUUGCUAAAGAGAUGGAUCGCCACAGCGGUCACGAGGGUUCAAAUCCCUCACCGUCCGCCA
rnacentral:tRNA from 1 species